rfam:Chlorocebus sabaeus isolate 1994-021 chromosome 15, whole genome shotgun sequence.
GCUGGGUAUGGGGGCACAGGCAUGUAGUCUCAGCUACGCUGGAGGCUGAGGUGGGAGUAUGGCUUGAGCCCCAGGAGCUCUUGACUGUAGGGCCCUAUGUUGAUUGGGUGUCUGCACUAAGUUCGGAAUCAAUAUGGUGGUGACCUGCUGGCAGUGGAGGACCACCAGAUGACCUGAGGAAGAGGAAACGGAGCAGGUGCAGAUCAGUAGUGGAAUUGUGCCUUUGAAUAGCCACUGCCCUUCAGCUUGGGCAACAUAGUGAGACCCCCAUCUUUU